rnacentral:rRNA from 1 species
UACGGGGGGGGGCAAGCGUUAUUCGGAAUUAUUGGGCGUAAAGGGCGCGUAGGCGGCUUGGCAAGUGGAAGGUGAAAUCCCUCGGCUCAACUGAGGAACUGCCUUCCAGACUGCUUUGCUUGAGUCCGGGAGAGGUGAGUGGAAUUCCCAGUGUAGCGGUGAAAUGCGUAGAUAUUGGGAGGAACACCAGUGGCGAAGGCGGCUCACUGGACCGGAACUGACGCUGAGGCGCGAAAGCGUGGGGAGCAAACGGGG